GUAUUCCUUAUCUGUUAUCUAUUUUAUAUGGUUAUGUGGAGCCUAUCUUCCCAGUGCUUUCUUCAUACGAUUGUCUUCAUGACAGUGAAAACAACAGGAAGAUAGGCCCUAAUGUAGUUGCCGCUUUACUUC
rnacentral:sRNA from 1 species